GGAAGUAAAAGUCUAACAAGGUCUCCGUUGGUGAACCAGCGGAGGGAUCAUUACCGAGUUUACAACUCCCAAACCCCUGUGAACAUACCAAUUGUUGCCUCGGCGGAUCAGCCCGCUCCCGGUAAAACGGGACGGCCCGCCAGAGGACCCCUAAACUCUGUUUCUAUAUGUAACUUCUGAGUAAAACCAUAAAUAAAUCAAAACUUUCAACAACGGAUCUCUUGGUUCUGGCAUCGAUGAAGAACGCAGCAAAAUGCGAUAAGUAAUGUGAAUUGCAGAAUUCAGUGAAUCAUCGAAUCUUUGAACGCACAUUGCGCCCGCCAGUAUUCUGGCGGGCAUGCCUGUUCGAGCGUCAUUUCAACCCUCAAGCCCAGCUUGGUGUUGGGACUCGCGAGUUAAAUCGCGUUCCCCAAAUUGAUUGGCGGUCACGUCGAGCUUCCAUAGCGUAGUAGUAAAACCCUCGUUACUGGUAAUCGUCGCGGCCACGCCGUUAAACCCCAACUUCUGAAUGUGACCUCGGAUCAGUAGAACCAAAU
rnacentral:rRNA from 1 species